GUCGUCACCUGCCGCGGGAUGAACAUUCGCGCCAUCCUCCCGCUCAGAAAGGCGAAGCCGCGAUUGCGCCUUUGAAUGGUGGCGAUCUUUCGGGCUUGCUCAGUUGCUUGUGUUCUACCAUUGGUUAAUGAUAGUUUAAAGAAGGUGGCUAUCGAAACCCUCAAAACAUACGAUCCUUAUAAUCAACGAUGGAUCGGUGUCGAGCGUAUUGAUGAUUGUUAAGAGGUUAUGGGGACGGCGGAAAGUACUGCAACGAUAUGACAAUGCUCGAA